GAUGAACGCUGGCGGCGUGCCUAAUACAUGCAAGUCGAGCGAACAGACGAGGAGCUUACUCCUCUGACGUUAGCGGCGGACGGGUGAGUAACACGUGGAUAACCUACCUAUAAGACUGGGAUAACUUCGGGAAACCGGAGCUAAUACCGGAUAACAUGUUGAACCGCAUGGUUCAACAGUGAAAGACGGUCUUGCUGUCACUUAUAGAUGGAUCCGUGUCGCAUUAGCUAGUUGGUAAGGUAACGGCUUACCAAGGCAACGAUGCGUAGCCGACCUGAGAGGGUGAUCGGCCACACUGGAACUGAGACACGGUCCAGACUCCUACGGGAGGCAGCAGUAGGGAAUCUUCCGCAAUGGGCGAAAGCCUGACGGAGCAACGCCGCGUGAGUGAAGAAGGUCUUCGGAUCGUAAAACUCUGUUAUUAGGGAAGAACAAAUGUGUAAGUAACUAUGCACGUCUUGACGGUACCUAAUCAGAAAGCCACGGCUAACUACGUG
rnacentral:rRNA from 1 species